rnacentral:tRNA from 3 species
GGGGUUAUAGCUCAGUUGGUAGAGCACUACAAUGGCAUUGUAGGGGUCAGCGGUUCGAACCCGCUUAGCUCCA